rnacentral:rRNA from 1 species
CCCUUAGAUGUUCUGGGCUGCACGCGUGCUACGCUGAUUAUUUCAACAAGUGUUUUAACUGGAGAGUUCGCGUAAUCCUGAAAUGUUAUCGUGAUGGGAGUAGAGUAUUGUAUUUGUUAAUCUUUAACGAGGAAUUCCUAGUAAGUGUAGGUUUAUAAGUUGUUCUGAUUACGUCCCUGCCCUUUGUACACACCGCCCGUCGCUCCUACCGAUUGAUUGAUCCGGUGAAUUACAUAGAAUUUUGCGUUUUACAUGACGGAAGACGAAGUGUUUUAAACCUUAUCAUUUAGAGGAAGGAGAAGUCGUAAUA